GCAAAUAUAGUUUAACUAAAACCCUAGAUUGUGAUUCUAGUAACAAAGACUAACCUCUUUUAUUUGCC
rnacentral:tRNA from 1 species